rnacentral:rRNA from 1 species
GGACCCGCACAAGCGGUGGAGUAUGUGGUUUAAUUCGAUGCAACGCGAAAAACCUUACCAAGGUUUGAAAUCAUUUCAAAAACUCUUUGAAAGAAGAGCCUCCUUCGGGAUGGAAUGACAGGUGGUGCAUGGCUGUCGUCAGCUCGUGUUGUGAAAUGUCAAGUUAAGUCUUGUAACGAGCGCAACCCAUGUCUUUUGUUGCUGUUUACAGUGCUUAAAAGAGACUGCCGCUCUACAGCGGAGGAAGGUGUGGAUGAUGUCAAGUCAGCAUGCCCUUAUAUCUUGGGCUACACACGUACUACAAUGGUAGGGACAAUGAGUCGCAAACCUGCGAAGGCUAGCC